rnacentral:rRNA from 1 species
CCAGACUCCUACGGGAGGCAGCAGUGGGGAAUAUUGCACAAUGGGGGAAACCCUGAUGCAGCAACGCCGCGUGAGUGAGGAAGUAUUUCGGUAUGUAAAGCUCUAUCAGCAGGGAAUAGAAAAGAAGGUACCUGAAAAAGAAGCCCCGGCUAACUACGUGCCAGCAGCCGCGGUAAUACGUAGGUGGCAAGCGUUAUCCGGAUUUACUGGGUGUAAAGGGCGUGUAGGCGGGGACGCAAGUCAGAUGUGAAAACCACGGGCUCAACCUGUGGCCUGCAUUUGAAACUGUGUUUCUUGAGUACUGGAGAGGCAGACGGAAUUCCUAGUGUAGCGGUGAAAUGCGUAGAUAUUAGGAGGGACACCAGUGGCGAAGGCGGUCUGCUGGACAGCAACUGACGCUGAGGCGCGAAAGCGUGGGGAGCAAACAGGAUUAGAUACCCCGGUACA